rnacentral:lncRNA from 1 species
GAAUGGAAGAAUUUUCUGAAGUAUAGCAUCUUGAUGAAAUUCAGAUAUUUAUAGGACAGCUUGAAGACAUUAAUUUGUAAGUAAAUGAUGAAGAAUAUGCCAAUAUUGAUAACCUGCAUCUGUUAAGAGGUUUUUUUAAUCAAAUUAUGAGUGAUUUGAUCCAGUUAAGAAGAAAAGAAAAAUCUAAAAAUGAAGAAGACAGCAAUGAGAAAGAAUUCCAGAAACCGAUGCUUUCUUUACUACUUUCUUUCUACUGCUCUACAAGGUACAGGAAUAUUCUAAUCAGAAUACUUUUUCUGGCACAAAUCGAGCGGACCGGGAACUCUUUACACACCUUUGUUGGGAGAAGCGUUUUCGGCGCUGGAACGCCCUCAUCAGCUCAUACAAUCAGUUCGCG